GUCUACGGCCAUACCACUCUGAACGUGCUGAUCUCAUCUGAUCUUGGAAGCUAAGCAGAGUUGGGCCUGGUUAGUACUUGGAUGGGAGGCAAAACAAUAGGAAUUCAACAAUGGUUGUUAUAUUGC
rnacentral:rRNA from 1 species